UUUUGUUUAAUUUGUUUAGGCUUUUGGUUUUUUGUCUGUUUUUUUUUUCUACCUUCACCGUUGUCUUUUUAUCGACACCAUACAGAUUGAAAUAAUGUACAACCCUGCCAACUCGAUUUGUCAUGGAACCUGUGAAACAGAUAGGGAGUUUGAGUGGCUGAAUGAAUGAAAAUUGCUCUAGAAGGGAACUGUUUGAGUUUGAGUUUCUCUGCAGCCCUCCAAUGAACUUUACUAAGGUUAAAAUCAGUUUAUGGCCAAUUGUUGCAUUUCCACUCAUCUCGGAACUGAACGAAUCUGACUGAAGAGCUUGUGGGUCCGACAACCAGGGUCGCGAAACUAAUUUGAAUUGCAAAUUAUGUUCCUAUUCAAUAUUCAUAUUUGUUGCCAGUCUUGCACGUGGAAGGAUUUUGAAAACUGCAAGCCAGAAAUCGUGGGGUCUUGUUUAGCUUCACUGGGGUAAAGAAGCAUUUAAUUUUCGGCGUUAUUCUCUUCGAAGUCGUCAGUUUUGAGGACGAUCGUCGACGUCUGUUUCUUCGGGAUUGCUGAAUGGAUUUGUUUGGAUUCGACGUCGAGGAGUGAUGGAUGUCACUUUAUCACGAAUUUUCGUCAAGCGUCAAGCAUGAGAUGGAAUGACCUGGCGGUCAAAAACUGCAUGGGACGAAAGCAAAAUGGACAGCAUCUUCAAGAUGGACUGGUGAACACCCUAAGCAAGAAAGACUAAUUACUCAGGUACAAAGCAGAUAAAGGACAUUCCUCUCCAGAUCACAACGAGUACCAACCAGAAAUUGAAAAGGCUUGAGGCCAAACGUAUUUAUUUCGCGAUUUUGUUAGACAUUGUAAUCGAAUUUAUUUAGACCUUUUCAACGAGUUAACUUUUCCUGCCAAAAAAAAUCAGGCGCUCUCAAUACGUAUGCACCAUUUUUUUUUUCUUUAUUGAUUCUGUAAGUAACAUCUGUUCAACUGUGGCGGAUUUUCCCGCCAAAAGACUUAGAAAAAAUACGGUGCUCAA